UGUGGACACAUCCGCCUCCGCACCCACCCCUUCCAGCCGGACUCUAAACUCCACCUCGUCUCAAAGAGCCGGUUCUUUGGUCCCCUCUCUGCUCCAUCUGUCAUUUUUUUCUGAGCCACCUCCUUGCCGUCAGCACCCGAGGAGAAGAACACAGUCCACCUACUACCACCGGUCCGCUACAGUGUUCUCACCAGGGACCUCAUUGCUGUUAAGGCCAGUGGAGUCCUCACCUUGCUGGACAGCAUCUGACCCUGCCCAGCAGUCCUCGACUUCUGGAAACAUCAUCUCGAUUUCGAUGACGACCAAGUCCUCUGAUUUUCUCCGACUUCUCUGGGUACAUCCUGUCAGUCCUUUUCAAGUCACCCAUUCCCUACGUGUUGGAGUCUUCGGGGGGCGCUAAGCUAUCUUCUCCGGUCACCGUACACACUCUCACUAGAUACCUCUCACCUUGGGAAGCCUGGUGUAAUCUUCUCAGACGACUUCUACACACUCCAUCAUCUCUAUGAACACGCAAUUCUGAGCUAUGUGCACGGCUGCCUGGAAUAGGGACCUCAUGUCCCCACCUGCUAGUGAUGAUGUCAUGUGGCGAAGCGUUGCCAGUAAGAUAUAAGAGGAAGUUGGGUACAACUUUAUCUGGAACCGUGAGAUCAGCCUGAGUUCAGAGGCCGCGCACAGCAGAGCAAUGAAUUGGGAAGGGCCUGGUCUGGACACCACGGAGCGCCUUCUGGCUGGACUCGAACAUUCUGCCCCGAUUUCUAGAUGAGCGGGAAAUAAAUCCUUAAUUUGGAAUUUUUUUUUUUUUGUCUCUCACAAUGAAAUCUAAUGAUAAUAUAUCGGGGUAUGCCCAUUUUUAACAUAAAAUGUAGCUACAGCUAGGAUUUUUUCAAUGUAUCUUCCUCGAACAAAAACCCAGGUAUCUGCUUUCAGAUGGAAGACGAGAUGUUACUAGAACUUCUUAAAAUGACUGCCGAUAAAUGACCUCCAGACCAUUCAGGAAAGAGCAUCAUCACGGAGAGAUGAAUGCGUUCCUUGUUUGUAUCCGAAGCUUUAUUUUUAUAAGCUAUAAUUUCUCAAUUUAUCAUCCUCGUCCUUAAUUGGGUGAGGACAGGAUGUUAUUUCUAGUAAUUACAGUAACUAUUAAACAAAACUGUCACGCCCUAAAUAAUUGAGAAUUGUCAAAUUCGAAAUGAGUGUUUUCCUAAUGUGUCAUCCCAAAUUAAUAGGCAUUUGUUGGGGAAAUCAGGGACAUAUUGGCUACAAUUCGACUUCUCCCUCGCGCUAUUUGCUUUUUGCCUUCAUUGUUAAGCAGUAAAACUGUUCCGUCACAACAGGCAAGCAACCUGUGCCUGGUGACACAGCAGGUGUGGGGCACAUGUUUGAACAAAAUGCCUUUUUAUUAAUUUAAUUAGCACCUGGCCUCACAGGCUGCUGAAGGAAGAGUGAGAAGCUUCCUUCCCGCACAGCAAACAUCUCUCAGGCUCUUACUCUCCGUCUUCUUUCAGGGUGAAGCCUCUUGUCGUGUAUUCCCGUUUUCACCUCUUAGCACUUUCUCCUGGGUUGCAAACAAAAAAAAAAAAAAAAAAAAAAGGAAAGAAAGAAAGAAAAUAUGAGCCUUUCUAGACUGUGACAAUUUAUCCAAGGAUUUUGUUUGCUUUGGUGAGAGAAGAUUUGAGAAUCCUAGAAAAAAUACUUUGUGCUAUGUGUUUUUUUUUUUAAUGUUUAUUUAUUCUUGAAAGAGAGAGAGAGUCAGAGCACGAGCAAGAGAAGGGCAGAGAAAGAGGGAGGCCCAGAAUCGGAAGCAGGUUCCAGGCUCCGAGCUGUCAGCACAGAGUCUGACACGGGGCUCGAACUCGUGAGCCGUGAGAUCAUGACCUGAGCUGAAGUCGGACACUCAACCGACUGAGCCACCCAGGUGCCCCUGUGCUAUGUGUUUAAAAUGCAAUCCUAGAAUGUGGGGUAGUGGAAGGCGCUACCGAACUCAUUUAGCCUCAGCAUCUUAAUCCGGAAAAGGAAACUGAGGCCCAGAGAAGUGAGACGUUUUGCCCACAGUUGUGGGAAAUUCUGAAUUGGAAAACAAAUCCCUGGGUUUCUAACCCAGGGAUCUUUCCACAAAUUGGGCAUAUUCUUUUAGUUUCAAGUCUUAAAAAUGUUGAGGAAUUGGGGCACCUGGGUGGCUCCGUCAAUUAAGCACCGACUUCGUCUCAGGUCACGAUCUCGCGGUUCGUGAGUUCAAGCCCCACGUCAGGCUCUGUGCUGACAGCACGGAGCCUGGAGCCUGCUUCGGAUUCUCUGUGUCCCUCUCUCUCUGCCCCUCCCCUGCUCACGCUCCAUCUCUCUCUGUCUCUCAAAAAUAAAUAAACGUUAAAACAAAUUUAAAAAAAAAAAAAACAGAAAGAAUCGGUUUCCAUCUUUCCACCUUGCUUUCUCCUGUGUUGGUUUCCUUCUCAGCCAGUCUCUCUGUGGUGACAAACAGGCUAUCACCUGCUCCUAACUUACAUCCUACUAACUUAGGGACGCCCAAGGAAUAGUUUCUGCACGCUGUUCCGGGCUUGUCUCCAUUCCUGGGGCAGGAACACGUGGUCCCACUACUUGAGCCACAUAAACUGAGCUGGGCACAGUGGGGGACACCCAGUGCUGUGCCGGUAAAUAUUUGGCAACCGGUUCUGGGGGCGGGGAAUAACGUCCUCAUUUGUAAAGCCUAGCAGUUUCCACGGUAGAUCUCAAGCUCUCCCCAGGUGGUCCCAGAGCACCGAGUUGGGACGAGAUGUGCAGGAACACCCAUGAGGUAAUAUUUCUACCGUACAGACAAAUAAACGUAAAUAACCUGGAGAUCAAUGACAAUAAAAUGCAGUUAAUUAGUACCUUACGAGU